AAGAAAGUCAUGGGGUUAUGGGGUUGGCUUGAAACCAAUUUUAGGGGGUUCGAUUCCUCCCUUUCUUG
rnacentral:tRNA from 3 species